UUGAGUGUUGCCCCCCUCGUAAAAAAAGGGGGGUACCUCCCGUCCUUUGCUGGGGGCCCCCUCUUUUUUUUGGAGGGGGGGCUUUUUCAGACCCUUCUGCUUCGGCGGGGCCACCCCCUGCCGGAACACCCUCAAAAAUUCUUUUAAUCGUUCUGUCCGAGGGCUUUUUUAAAAAUUAUGAUAACA
rnacentral:misc_RNA from 1 species